UACGUAGGGAGCAAGCGUUGUCCGGAAUCAUUGGGCGUAAAGCGCGCGUAGGCGGCCUCGUAAGUCCGUUGUGAAAGUCAAAGGCUCAACCUUUGAAAGCCGAUGGAUACUGUGAGGCUAGAGUCCGGAAGAGGCGAGUGGAAUUCCUGGUGUAGCGGUGGAAUGCGCAGAUAUCAGGAGGAACACCAAUAGCGAAGGCAGCUCGCUGGGACGGUACUAACGCUAAGGCGCGAAAGCGUGGGGAGCGAACAGG
rnacentral:rRNA from 1 species